UACGUAGGGUGCGAGCGUUGUCCGGAAUUAUUGGGCGUAAAGAGCUCGUAGGCGGUUUGUUGCGUCGGCCGUGAAAACCUGCAGCUUAACUGUGGGCCUGCGGUCGAUACGGGCAGACUUGGAGUUCGGUAGGGGAGACUGGAAUUCCUGGUGUAGCGGUGAAAUGCGCAGAUAUCAGGAGGAACACCGGUGGCGAAGGCGGGUCUCUGGGCCGAUACUGACGCUGAGGAGCGAAAGCGUGGGGAGCGAACAGG
rnacentral:rRNA from 1 species